ensembl:lncRNA
ACAUUGAUCAAAAGUGACUGUAAAUAAUUUAUAAUGUUGCAUAAAAUUUCUCUGUUCUUUUGACCUUUCUAUUCAUCAAAAAAAGGAAAAAAAUGACAAUUUUCACAAAAAUAUUAAGCUGCACAAAUGUUUUCAAGAUUGAUACUAAUAAGAACUGUUUCUUUAGCACAAAAUGAGAAUAUUGGAAUGAUUUCUGAAGGAUCAUGUGACUCUGAAAACUGAAGUACUGAUGCUGAACAUUCAGAUUUGCCAUCGUAAUUUUUUUUUGAAAAUAUAUGAAAAUAGAAUAAUUAUAAUAAUUAAAAUAUUGGACACUGUUCCCUUUUUUUUACUGUAUUUUUGACCAAAUAAAUGCAGCCUUGGUGAGAACUUUUGAACAGUAGUGCAUAAAUGUUUUCUUUUUAGCUAAAAUAUAUAUAUUUUUUCCAACUAAAAUUUGAUGGCAUUUAGUUUAAAGUAAAUUUGAUUAAAUUAAUGACUAUGACAUUAUUAAAUUUAAAGUAUUUUUUUGUCAAAGCAAAAACUACAAAAUUAAAAAAAUUAAAAAUCUGAAAGACAAGGACCUUUAGCCCUGUGUGUGUGUGUGUGUGUGUGUGUGUGUGUGUGUGUGUGUGUGUGUGUGUGUGUGUGUGUAUGUCAGCAGCCCUCCCAGUACCGUAUCCAGUGCCGGGCCCUCGUCUCCAUCUGUACCAGAGCCCUCAUCCAACUUCAGAUUCAACAGCGAGUAGAACAUCUUUUACUCUUAGAUCAGUUUCACGGUGUCUAUUUUAAAGGAUUGAGGUUAAGAUUGAUACGGUCCUAGUUAUCUGCUUGAAAGCUGCUAAUAUUGUACUAUCUGCACUUCUGCCUGAACAAUACAGAGCCUCUUUGUCUGAGAUUCAGCUGAUGGUUUGAUCUGUCAGCAAAUGCAGCUCUGAAACCAGUAAUUAGCUCUUCCGCUGUACUUCUGAGCUCCGGUGGAGUUGGAUAGUAAUUAUGAUCCCAGAUUCAGCGGCAGAGAGACAGAGACAUCACAGACAAUGAUAAUUGUCUGUGCAUCUUUUUACAGAAUAAUGCAACUCAAAUAAAUACCCAAAGAAGUAUACAAGUCCACAAAAAAUAGAUUUAAUCAUUUAGAUCCAAUCGCGUAAUUUUAAUUGUACCACUAUUUUUUUUUCAGUUUGUGUAUAUUUGAAUUAUUGUAUGAUUUUUUUAAUGUUUGAUUUAUUUUUUUGAUCAUGUGAUUUGUUUUUAGACUUACAUAAAAGUUGCUGUAUUUUUAUUGUAUGAAAUGCAAAGGUAUUGUUUGAGAAUGAUUCAAGGGAUAGUUCACCCAAAAAUUUAUAUUCUGUCAUCAUUUACUCGGCCUCGUCAUUCAGAACCUGUAUGAAUUUAUUUCUUCUGUUCACUAUAAAAGAAGAUAUUUUGAAGACCGCUGAGAACCAAAAAGAUGAUGGCACCCAUUGACUUGCAUAGUAUUUUUUUCCAAACCAUUGAAGUGAAUGGAUACCGUCAAAUGUUUAACUACCCACAUUCUUCAAAAUAUCUUCUUUUGUGCACAACAGAGCAAACUCAAACAGGUUUGGAGCAAUUUGAAGAUGAGUAAAUAACAGAAUUUUUAUUUUGAGCGAGACCCAUCCCAUAAAAUGAGCUGCAAUAGACUUUUCAAGAGUGUUCAGCUGUUUGCAAUCUGCUGUUGUGUUUACUCUGUAAAGUUGAAAGUAUAUUUAAUUUUAGAGACUUGUAUUACUUAAUAAAAUAGCUUUAAAU